UACGUAGGGUGCGAGCGUUGUCCGGAAUUAUUGGGCGUAAAGAGCUCGUAGGCGGUCUGUCACGUCGGCUGUGAAAUCCCGAGGCUCAACCUCGGGUCUGCAGUCGAUACGGGCAAACUAGAGUAUUGCAGGGGAGACUGGAAUUCCUGGUGUAGCGGUGAAAUGCGCAGAUAUCAGGAGGAACACCGGUGGCGAAGGCGGUUCUCUGGGCAUGUCCUGACGCUGAGGAGCGAAAAGUGUGGGGGAGCGAACAGG
rnacentral:rRNA from 1 species